ensembl:miRNA
CAGUCUGGUUGUAGGGAUACAGUGAUCAGGUUACGAGGGAUUUCUCAAGUAACAACCUCGUAGCUCGGUCACGAUAUCCCUAUGACUUAGAUAACAACA